ACAUGCCUACAACAUAGCGUUAAUGCACCAAAUCCCAUUAUAACUCUGUAAUUAAGCAAGCUCAUGCUAGAGUAGUACUAGGAUCGGUGAUCGCUCGAGAAGUCCUAGUGUUUUACAUGCC
rnacentral:rRNA from 1 species